GAGGAAGAUAAAAUUUUAUCUGUCAAAAAUAAUCCAUCUAAUUGCAAUGUCCCUUCACCUUUAAAUGAACACCAAUUUUCAAUUCAAGUUUUUCAUGAGGAUGAGCAAGAUGAUGAAGAGAUGACGGAUGAUACUAAUUCUCGUGAUUAUGAUCGGAACAUCGAUAAUAAGGAAAAUGAGAUAAUUGCGAUGAAGGCUCUCCCAAUUACAGAAAUGAAUGUAGACGAGGAUAUACAUGUAAUUAUAAG